AUACAAGAUCCAUAAAAAGUA
rnacentral:snRNA from 1 species